rnacentral:rRNA from 1 species
UACGAAGGAUCCAAGCGUUAUCCGGAUUCAUUGGGUUUAAAGGGUGCGUAGGCGGGCUUAUAAGUCAGCGGUGAAAUCUCUCGGCUUAACCGAGAAACUGCCGUUGAUACUGUAGGUCUAGAGUACAGAUGAUGUUGGCGGAAUAUGACAUGUAGCGGUGAAAUGCUUAGAUAUGCCAUAGAACACCGAUUGCGAAGGCAGCUGACAAAACUGUAACUGACGCUGAGGCACGAAAGUGCGGGGAUCAAACAGG